GUUCACUGUGAUGCUUGUAAGGGUUCUGGAGGCAAAGUUCCAGCAGGUGAUAAGUGCAAAGGAUGCCAUGGAGAAAAGUACGAAAACGUUUCGAAAAUAUUGGAGG
rnacentral:sRNA from 1 species